rnacentral:lncRNA from 1 species
AGUCCACUGGAGUGGGAGUUUCCAAAUCAGAUGUGUCAGCUUUUCCUAACAACUCGCAGAGUGAUUAAAGAAUUUUAAAGCAAGUAAUUUCACUGUGACUCCCCUAGGUUAUGAGCAGCCCAAGAGGAGGAACAAUGGUAGCUCCAGAAGUUCUAACAGGAAGAGGAAAGGGUCAGAGAUUUUAUUAAGAAAAGAAUUUUGGAGGAGUAAUCAGCGGAUUUGACUUGAAACAAUAGCUGCAGAAUAUGUUUAAUUUUGAAGAUCUACACUUUUAUUUCAGAGAAGUAUGGAGGGGCACAAUGAGUAAAUACAAAUGUUUGGUCCACUAUCUUGGAUCAGAAGGCUAGCCGAACAUCUUGGAUUCCACUGAGCUAAUUGACAUUGUAUAAUAAUGAAAAAAAUAAACAAAUUUCUCAAGACUCAAAAUAUCUAAGAAUGUAGGUCAAGAACAUUUAAGAGGGGGAAGAUGGGUGUAAAUAUCUGAGAACAUUCUGGGGAAAGGAGUUACAGUGAUGAACAAAGAAGACAUAUUUGAGAAGUGAAGAAUACAGACAACAGGAAUAAGAAAGAGCCUACUGCUGAGUUAAAACACCUCUUCAUAAUUACUUCCAAGAGAUAGGAUCUUGUUCUGUUGCCCAG